AUCUUACUGUCCAGUACUCACCCUUCUUGUGACGUUGUGAGACCAUCAAAUGCCUACGUAACGAGAUGCCGUGAGGUGAAUGUCGCAGGCAUUGUGACGUCAGAAGGAGGAGGACCUGCUUUCCCACCAUGCUUGGCGGCAGGGAACCGAAACCCCGGAAAGCCGAACCGCUAAUGAGGGAGGGCGACUUUAUAUGCGAAGCGCUGAGCAACCGUGUCGGAAACGGAGGAGGAAUUCUACACUCUGCCUCUCUGUGCCGCAGAGUUUCCUGGACUUCCAUGAAGCUGGUUCCAGGAGAAAGCCUUCCAAGAAGAGCAGCCCCAAAAUGCAAACACUUACAAGCCAAAUACAAGAUGUUCAUCUGCAUGAAAAGAAAAUCUCCAGCAUCAUGCACCUCACAGCAUCCCAAGCACCAUGAGCUGUUUGAUUCCAGGAGCUGACCUGGUGCAGUGCAGCUGGUUUCACGGUUGGGCUGUCCGCUUUUUGCUGAACGCUGGUCAGAGAUGGCAUACUGCUUACGGCAGAUCCUGGAGAAAUGAUGUGCCCUCCUGGGAAAUUAACCGUAUGAUCAACUACACUUGAAAUUCAGAAGAGCUGCCAGAAGCUGCAUUUGUACAGCAAAACACCUCAGUGCCCCUGUGCAGAACAGCGUUUUCCUGCUGCCCCACCCACAGCGACAGGAAGAAAAUCACCUGGAAUAUGAGGACCAUGUUUUCUAACAAACAAAACUGAAACAAGAUACAUGGGCUGACAAAGGACGUGGCAACAGGAUGGAAUAUUUUAAAUCAGAUAGCAGUAUAUAAGGAGGGUGGCAGAGUGGCCCUUCUCAUGCCUACUCUUUGGUUUUGGACAUAUAAAACCAUGAGAUACUUACACAAGGAAAGGAGUGAUCCCUUUUGAUUGUGUUCCUUAGGAAAACAUUUCUUUUUAAACAUAGGUCCUAGUGGAUGUAUCAUAUGAGAGUAAUGUUUCCUAUCACAGAGGAAACUCUGCUCCAAGAAUUGUACCAAAAUGUCACAACCAAACUAAAUAGUAUCCUUAAGAAUCCUCUAUUUGGGGAUCCUGAUGACUUUUGUAACAUAAAAGCUCAACUUUUUAAAAGUCUAAAAUUAAAUAGUUGUUGAUAAAUAAGCAUUUUCAUCUUUGUGUGUUUAUGCAAAGUUGACAUGUCUUUCAACUCUUUUGAAA